GGCUCAGAUUGAACGCUGGCGGCAUGCCUUACACAUGCAAGUCGAACGGCAGCGGACCUUCGGGUGCCGGCGAGUGGCGAACGGGUGAGUAAUAUAUCGGAACGUACCUUUCAGUGGGGGAUAACGUAGCGAAAGUUACGCUAAUACCGCAUAUUCUGUGAGCAGGAAAGCAGGGGAUCGCAAGACCUUGCGCUGAUUGAGCGGCCGAUAUCAGAUUAGCUAGUUGGUGAGGUAAAGGCUCACCAAGGCGACGAUCUGUANCGGGUCUGAGAGGAUGAUCCGCCACACUGGAACUGAGACACGGUCCAGACUCCUACGGGAGGCAGCAGUGGGGAAUUUUGGACAAUGGGCGCAAGCCUGAUCCAGCCAUGCCGCGUGAGUGAAGAAGGCCUUCGGGUUGUAAAGCUCUUUCGGCCGGGAAGAAAUCGCACAGGUUAAUACCCUGUGUGGAUGACGGUACCGGAAUAAGAAGCACCGGCUAACUACGUG
rnacentral:rRNA from 1 species